rnacentral:sRNA from 1 species
AAGAGGGGAGUGUGUUAGCUUGUGCCUUGUCUGAGAGCUAAGUCAGGGAAAAUUGGUAAUUGUGAUGACCAUGAUGAUGGAUUCAGUGGCCCUUCCCUAGACUUUACUGCUAGAGCUGACCAGUAUGGGGUAGGGAGAACAUGUGCACAGUCAGGACAGCAUAGCGCUGUGGUGCCCUUGGAGGAGACAUUUUAAGAAAAUAGAAAACCAAAAAUCUUGACAUUGCUAGACAUCUCUAUGUCACUGUAUGUCUCUGAGUUUCAGCGGAUGGGCAUAGUGGCUUGCUCCUAGAGUGGGAGGUAACAGAUGCACCCCGGGACUGGACACAAACUCUGAAGAUUUUGAAGAAGUCCAGACAUGUGCUGAAUCUGGAGCUUCCUGUCCAGUGUGAUGUGAAGAGAAGUGUAGUCAAGUUGGAAGGCUACAAGAAGUAAAUCCCAAACCGAUAAGGUAAUUAUCAAACUGUCCCACUAACACAUCUACUCAGCUGCAGACAUGUUAUCCUAAGAAGAUCCCAUGAAACAUUGAUGCUCUAGGCACAGUUCUCUCAAACCUGUGGAAAAAUUCAUGUGCUGCCUUAAUCCUAAACUCCUGAAGAGGCUCUGCACUACCUAAUGUUGUACCGAUGCUAGAGGCCCCAGAAGCUGAUCUUCAG